rnacentral:tRNA from 2 species
GGACCGUUAACUCAGUUGGUUAGAGGACCCGGCUCAUAACCGGGCAGCCCAGGGUUCGAGUCCCUGACGGUCCA